rnacentral:rRNA from 1 species
UACAGAGGGGGCAAGCGUUGUUCGGAAUUACUGGGCGUAAAGGGCGCGUAGGCGGCCUGUUAAGUCGAACGUGAAAUCCCCGGGCUCAACCCGGGAACUGCGUCCGAUACUGGCAGGCUUGAAUCCGGGAGAGGGAUGCGGAAUUCCAGGUGUAGCGGUGAAAUGCGUAGAUAUCUGGAGGAACACCAGAGGCGAAGGCGGCAACCUGGCACGUUACUGACGCUCAUACACGACAGCAUGGGGAGCGAACGGG